UGUGCCUGUGCGAACAACGAUUCUGAGCGGGGUUCGGUUGAACACGUUUCUGAAAGGCCGUGAUAUUUACGAUUUGAAAAUAAUACAUUUCGUAUACGUUUUCCCUGUUUUUCCUACAUUAUUUCCGGUUUAUUAUGUAAGACCCCUGGGAAAAUCGAAAAACGACCUCCGUAAAGUACCGCGCCGGCGAUAUUUCCUUUCAGA